rnacentral:rRNA from 1 species
UACGUAGGGUGCGAGCGUUGUCCGGAAUUAUUGGGCGUAAAGGGCUCGUAGGCGGUUUUGUCGCGUCGGGAGUGAAAACCAGGUGCUUAACACCUGGCUUGCUUUCGAUACGGGCAGACUAGAGGUAUGCAGGGGAGAACGGAAUUCCUGGUGUAGCGGUGAAAUGCGCAGAUAUCAGGAGGAACACCGGUGGCGAAGGCGGUUCUCUGGGCAUGACCUGACGCUGAGGAGCGAAAGUGUGGGGAGCGAACAGG